CAGUAGCCGCGGUAACACGUAGGGUGCAAGCGUUAAUCGGAAUUACUGGGCGUAAAGCGUGCGCAGGCGGUUAUAUAAGACAGAUGUGAAAUCCCCGGGCUCAACCUGGGAACUGCAUUUGUGACUGUAUAGCUAGAGUACGGCAGAGGGGGAUGGAAUUCCGCGUGUAGCAGUGAAAUGCGUAGAUAUGCGGAGGAACACCGAUGGCGAAGGCAAUCCCCUGGGCCUGUACUGACGCUCAUGCACGAAAGCGUGGGGAGCAAACAGGAUUAGAUACCCCGGUAGUCCCUGUCUCUUAUAC
rnacentral:rRNA from 1 species